rnacentral:rRNA from 1 species
GACGAACGCUGGCGGCGUGCUUAACACAUGCAAGUCGAACGGAAAGGCCCUGCUUUUGUGGGGUGCUCGAGUGGCGAACGGGUGAGUAACACGUGAGUAACCUGCCCUUGACUUUGGGAUAACUUCAGGAAACUGGGGCUAAUACCGGAUAUGAGCUCCUGCUGCAUGGUGGGGGUUGGAAAGUUUCGGCGGUUGGGGAUGGACUCGCGGCUUAUCAGCUUGUUGGUGGGGUAGUGGCUUACCAAGGCUUUGACGGGUAGCCGGCCUGAGAGGGUGACCGGCCACAUUGGGACUGAGAGACGGCGCAGACUCCUACGGGAGGCAGCAGUGGGGAAUAUUGCAGAGUGGGCGGAAGCCUGAUGCAGCAACGCCGCGUGCGGGAUGACGGCCUUCGGGGUAUAAACCGCUUUCGCCUGUGACGAAGCGUGAGUGACGGUAAUGGGUAAGGAAGCACCGGCUAACUACGUG